GGAUAUGGCGCCAUUUGGCCCUGUCCCUGCUGGUGGUCCAUGUGCCGGGCAAAAGCUACGAUAUUCCCCAUUGAUGUCUAUGUAAAUUGGCGCCUCCACAAGUGGCCAAGCGGCGCCAGUCAAAGAUGUUGCCGCUGUCGGAGCUGCCACUGCCACAGCUCCUGCUGCCCCAGCCACUGUUGCUGCUGUGGGGACGGCUGCACCUACUGUUGCUGCUGCUGCUGCUGCUGUUGCAGCUGCCACGGCUGCAGCACCUCCUGCUGUUGGUGUCAAGGUAAUCAAUUGCACGGGCAGCAAUUGGGCGCCAUUUCCCGU
rnacentral:sRNA from 1 species